rnacentral:rRNA from 1 species
GAGCACGUAGGUGGGUUUGUAAGUCAGACGUGAAAGCCUUCUGUUCAACGGAAGAAUUGCAUCUGAAACUACAAACCUUGAGUGUAGGAGGGGAGAAUGGAACUUCUGGUGGAGCGGUGAAAUGCGUAGAUAUCAGAAGGAACGCCGGCGGCAAAAGCGAUUCUCUGGCCUAUUACUGACACUCAGUGUGCGAAAGCUAGGGGAGCAAACGGGAUUAGAUACCCCGGUAGUCCUAGCCGUAAACGAUGGGCACUAAGUAGAGGGGU